rnacentral:rRNA from 1 species
CCUACGGGAGACAGCAGUGGGGAAUAUUGCACAAUGGGGGAAACCCUGAUGCAGCGACGCCGCGUGAGUGAAGAAGUAUCUCGGUAUGUAAAGCUCUAUCAGCAGGGAAGAAAAUGACGGUACCUGACUAAGAAGCCCCGGCUAACCACGUGCCAGCAGCCGCGGUAAUACGUAGGGGGCAAGCGUUAUCCGGAUUUACUGGGUGUAAAGGGAGCGUAGACGGCGCUGCAAGUCCGGAGUGAAAGCCCAUGGCUUAACCAUGGUACUGCUCUGGAAACUGUGGAGCUUGAGUGCGAGAGGGGCAGGCGGAAUGCGGGGGGUAGCGGUGAAAUGCAUAGAUAUUAGGAGGAACACCGGCGGCGAAGGCGGCAUGCCGGACCGAAACUGACGUUGAGGCUCGAAAGCGUGGGGAGCGAACAGGAUUAGAUACCCUGGUAGUC